GUGGGGAAUAUUGGACAAUGGGCGAAAGCCUGAUCCAGCCAUGCCGCGUGAGUGAUGAAGGCCUUAGGGUUGUAAAGCUCUUUCAGUAGGGAAGAUAAUGACGGUACCUACAGAAGAAGCCCCGGCUAACUUCGUGCCAGCAGCCGCGGUAAUACGAAGGGGGCUAGCGUUGUUCGGAUUUACUGGGCGUAAAGCGCACGUAGGCGGAUUGGUCAGUUAGAGGUGAAAUCCUGGAGCUCAACUCCAGAACUGCCUUUAAUACUGCCAGUCUAGAGUCCAGAAGAGGUGAGUGGAACUCCUAGUGUAGAGGUGGAAUUCGUAGAUAUUAGGAAGAACACCAGUGGCGAAGGCGGCUCACUGGUCUGGUACUGACGCUGAGGUGCGAAAGCGUGGGGAGCAAACAGGAUUAGAUACCCGAGUAGUCC
rnacentral:rRNA from 1 species